CCUACGGGAGGCAGCAGUAGGGAAUAUUGGUUAAUGUGCGAAAGCGCGAACCAGCAACGCCGCGUGUGCGAUGAAGGCCUUCGGGUCGUAAAGCACUUUUUGCAGGGAAGAGGAAGGAUGGUACCUGCAGAAUAAGUCUCGGCUAACUACGUGCCAGCAGCCGCGGUAAAACGUAGGAGACGAGCGUUAUCCGGAUUUACUGGGCGUAAAGCGCGUGCAGGCGGCAUGGCAAGUUGGAUGUGAAAGCUCCCGGCUUAACUGGGAGAGGUCGUUCAAUACUGCCAGGCUUGAGAGUGGUAGAGGGAAGCGGAAUUCCGGGUGUAGUGGUGAAAUGCGUAGAUAUCCGGAGGAACACCAGUGGCGAAAGCGGCUUCCUGGCCCAUUUCUGACGCUCAGACGCGAAAGCUAGGGUAGCAAACGGGAUUAGAGACCCCGGUAGUCCUAGCCGUAAACGAUGUGAACUUGGCGUUGGCGGGUUUAAAUCCGUCAGUGCCGUAGCUAACGCGAUAAGUUCACCGCCUGGGGACUACGGCCGCAAGGUUAAAACUCAAAGGAAUUGACGG
rnacentral:rRNA from 1 species